CAGGAGUUGAUAACAGUUCAGUAAGAGAAAAUGCUUAGAGGUGACAACAUUGAAACCAGGCAGGAUGUCCAGUUAUAUCCAACCAGGGAAUUCCAUCUUCUGCUUUCACGAAAACACAUGAUGGUCAGAGUGAUCUUUUUGCACCUGCUGUGUUUUAAGUGCUUUUGACUGAAGUCCUCAAUAUUCCAGAGUGAGGCUAGCCUGUGGCAUGGUGGUCAAGAUGGCUGGAUCCUAAUUAACCAACCCUAUGUUCAACACUCAGACCCAGCAGCCUGAGAAACACGGCAGGCAUGUGCUUCUUCCAUGCCCCGAAUCCUGGAAGUGGGGAGAAAAGAAAAAGGAAGGGGUCCCACAGAUAUGUGCUAAACACCUUACUUCAUGAGAAGAACAGGAGGACAAGGAAGAUAAAGAGCAAUUGAAGGACUUAAUAGAAAGGAGUGGGCUCUGUAAACCAAAUUUUUAACAAAUAUCUGACAUUCUCAGCGUUCCUCCUUUCAGAAAAUGCCAGCCCUCUCAAUAGCAGGUCAGUGGUGUGACCUUUGUAGCCCAAUAAUGACGGUCCCAAUGACUUUUCUGAGCAAGAGGAAGCGACAUUAAGCUACUUGAUGCUGAGGCAGCCAGACAGUCUGCCAUUUUUUGUCUCUUACCAAUUGUUUCUCCUCCAGCCAUCUUUACUGGUGGA